rnacentral:rRNA from 1 species
AUAAAGUGAAAGAGGAGUUCAAGAGGGCGUGAAACCGUUUAGAAGUAAAGGGGUAAAGCCGCGAGGUAGUCGUAAAAAUCAGCCGGGCGAAGGUCUCGGUCUCGGUCUUGUUCGACGUUAAAGCGAACGACCGGACGCUUUUAGGGGCCGUAGUCUGGUGCACUUUUUGCGACGAGCAUCUCGACUAAAGCGAAUCCCGGUGGAAAACGGACUUUGAAGGCAGAGCCGAGUGUUCUGCGACUAAGGUUCGUCUUAGAGAGACUGGUGAAUCGUUUUGGGUACCCGAGUAGUCGCCGUUAAGGCUCGUGAAAAUUCGAUGGCUAGUUGGUCGAAAUGUCCGUUCUUGCUCGCAGGAUCGGGCGACCCCUGAUUUUGACGUCGAAUCGAAUCGAGAGACUACGAAGGUUCAGAGGUGUCUGAGGCGGUCGCUUACCCCACCCGUCUUGAAACACGGACCAAGGAGUCUAACAUGUGCGCGAGUUAUUGGGCGGUAAACCCAAAGGCGAAAUAAAAGUAAAGACCGCUUACGCGGUAAUAAAUACGAUCCUGGCGCUUGGCUAGGCGGAGUAUUGUCCCAUCCAAGCGGUGCGUCCGCCGGGUGGAGAAAGAGCGUAAAUGUUGGGACCCGAAAGAUGGUGAACUAUGCUCGAGCAGAACGAAGCCAGAGGAAACUCUGGUGGAGGUUCGUAGCGGUUCUGACGUGCAAAUCGAUCGUCAGACUUGGGUAUAGGGGCGAAAGACUAAUCGAACCAUCUAGUAGCUGUUCCCCUUUGAAA